GCCUCUUGACUAACCAUAAGAGGUCAAGCCUGCCCAGUGACAUUGUUCAACGGCCGCGGUAUCCUAACCGUGCGAAGGUAGCGUAAUCACUUGUUCUUUAAAUGAGGACUAGUAUGAACGGCUUCACGAAUGCUAUACUGUCUCCUUUAUCCAAUCAGUUAAACUAAUCUCCCCGUGAAGAAGCGGGGAUUCACUUAUAAGACGAGAAGACCCUAUGGAGCUUUAAACACUCUUAAACACAUGAACCAUUUAUUACUUACUCCAGAAAACUUCACUAAACCCCUCAUUUUGUUUAAACUUUUAGGUUGGGGUGACCACGGAGAAUAACCGAACCUCCACGUGGAAAGAAACUUAAUUCUAAGCAAAAAGCCACAUCUUUAUGCAUCAAUAAUAUUGACCUAAAUUGACCCAAUUAUUUGAUCAACGAACCAAGUUACCCU
rnacentral:rRNA from 1 species